GUUCUCCAAGUCCCCACUAGAUUAGCUAGACACAGAGCACUGAUUGGUGCGUUUACAAACUUUGAGCUAGACACAGGGUGCUGAUUGGUGCGUUUACAAACCUUGAGAUAGACACAAAGUGCUGAUUGGUGCAUUUACAAACCUUUAGCUAGACAUAAAAGUUCUCCAAGUGCCCACCCCACUCAGGAACCCAGCUGGCUUCCCUAGUGGGUCUGGUGUAGGUCCGCUGGCGGAGCUGCCAGCCGGACACACGCCCCACGCCCGCACUUCUCAGCCCUUCCGCGGUCCAUGGGUCCGGCCGUCGUGGAGCAGGGGGCGGCGCCCGUCGGGGAGGCUCCAGCCGCGCGGGAGCCAACGAUCUCCUCCGGGAGUGGUGGGCAGCUACUGUGAAAGGCCUGGUUCAAAAACCUCACAGCGGUUGUUUUCAGAGUUGUCCCUCCUGUGUACUCUCAAAGCCCCAGAAUGAAGCAAAGCAUCCUCCCUUUUCAAACUGGCACUCUUCCCCAACCUUGAGGACCACUAGGCACUUUGUUUUUAAAGCCACAAAUCCUGAUCUGUUACCCAGGCUGGAGUGCAGUGAAUGAUCUCGGCUUAUUGCAACUUCCGCCUCCCAGGAUCAAGAGUUUCUGGUAUCUCAGCUUUCCGAGUAGCUGGGAUUAUAGACGUGCACCACCAUGCCUAGCUAAUUUUUGUAUUUUUAGUAGAGGCAGAGUUUCACCAUGUUGGCCAGGCUGGUCUCAAACUCCUGGCCUCAGGUGAUCUGCCCACCUCGGCCUCCCAAAGUGCUGGGAUUACAGGCGUGAGCCACCACACCUGGCCCUCAUUCUCUUAGCAGUGUAUUUUGAAGAGAAGUUUUAACUUUUAAUAAAGUUUAAUUUAUUUAUUAUUUUAUGGAUUACAUUUCUAGUGUUGUUUCUAAGAAAUUUUUGCCUACCCCAAGCUCACAAAGAAAUUUUCCUAUGUUUUCUUAUAAAAGUUUUAUGUGUUCAAGCUGUACAUUUAGAUGUAUGAUGCAUUGUAGUUAACUUUCUUAUAUAGUUUGAGGCAUGUAUCCAAGUUCAUAUUUGAUGUAUGGAUACCCAGUCAUCGCAGCAAUUUUUUUUUUGAAAAGCCUGUACUUUUUCCACUGGGUUGCUUUUGUGCUUUUGUCAAAAAUUAGUUGCGCAGCUUGGGCGCAGUAGCUCACGCCUGUAAUCCCAGCAGUUUGGGAGGCCGAGGCGGGCGGAUCACAAGAUCAGGAGA
rnacentral:lncRNA from 1 species